rnacentral:rRNA from 1 species
GCGAAAACUUUACAAUGCUGGCAACAGCGAUAAGGGAACCUCGAGUGCCAGGUUACAAAUCUGGCUGUCGAGAUGCCUAAAAAGCAUUUCAUAGCAAGGGCCGGGCAAGACCGGUGCCAGCCGCCGCGGUAACACCGGCGGCUCGAGUGGUAACCGUUAUCAUUGGGUCUAAAGGGUCUGUAGCCGGCCGGAUAAGUCUCUUGAGAAAUCUGGCAGCUCAACUGUCAGGCUUUCAGGAGAUACUGUCUGGCUCGAGGCCGGGAGAGGUGAGAGGUACUUCAGGGGUAGGGGUGAAAUCUUGUAAUCCUUGAAGGACCACCAGUGGCGAAGGCGUCUCACCAGAACGGACCUGACGGCAAGGGACGAAAGCUAGGGGCACGAACC